AUUGAACGCUGGCGGCAGGCUUAACACAUGCAAGUCGAACGAGUGGCGGACGGGUGAGUAAUGUCUGGGAAACUGCCCGAUGGAGGGGGAUAACUACUGGAAACGGUAGCUAAUACCGCAUACCCUCAGAUGUGCCCAGAUGGGAUUAGCUGGUUGGUGGGGUAACGGCUUACCAAGGCGACGAUCCCUAGCUGGUCGGAGAGGAUGACCAGCCAGGCUGGAACUGAGACACGGUCCAGCCUCCUACGAGAGGCAGCAGUGGGGAAUAGUGCACAAUGGGCGCAAGCCUGAUGCAGCCAUGCCGCGUGUAUGAAGAAGGCCUGCGGGUUUUAAAGUACUUUCAGCGGGGAGGCGUUACCCGCAGAAGAAGCACCGGCUAACUCCGUGCCAGCCGCCGCGGUAAUUC
rnacentral:rRNA from 1 species